rnacentral:rRNA from 1 species
UACGGAGGGAGCUAGCGUUGUUCGGAAUUACUGGGCGUAACGCGCGCGUAGGCGGACCUGCAAGUCGGGGGUGAAAGCCCGAGGCUCAACCUCGGAACUGCCUUCGAUACUGCGGGUCUCGAGUCCGGGAGAGGUGAGUGGAAUUCCUAGUGUAGAGGUGAAAUUCGUAGAUAUUAGGAAGAACACCAGUGGCGAAGGCGGCUCACUGGCCCGGUACUGACGCUGAGGCGCGAAAGCGUGGGGAGCAAACAGG